CUACGGGUUGCUGCAGGCGCGAAACCUCUGCAAUGCGCGAAAGCGUGACAGGGGAACCCCAAGUGCUCAUGCUUAGCAUGGGCUUUUGCCAAGGGUAAAAACCUUGGCGAAUAAGUGGUGGGUAAGACCGGUGCCAGCCGCCGCGGUAACCCCGGCGCCACAAGUGGCAACCGCUAUUAUUGGGUCUAAAGCGUCCGUAGGCGGCCUGUUAACUCUUCUGUGAAAUUGUUCUGCUUAACAGAACAGCGUGCAGGAGAAACUGGCAGGCUUGGGACCGGGAGGCGUCAGGGGUAUUCCGUGGGGGAGCGGUAAAAUGUUAUAAUCCCAGGAGGACCACCUGUGGCGAAGGCGCCUGACGAGAACGGAUCCGACGCUGAGGGACGAAAGCUAGGGGAGCAAAACGGAUUAGAUACCCCUGUAGUC
rnacentral:rRNA from 1 species